GGAUUGGGAGGGUUCUACGGAACCCGUUUGGUGAAUCUAGUGCCGAGAAAAGCCUUCUAUGUGUUGAAUUUCUAGUACCCGUACCCCAAACCGACACAGGUGGGUGGGUAGAGCAUACCUAGGGGCGCGUGAUAACUCUCUCUAAGGAACUCGGCAAAAUGGCCCUGUAACUUCGGGAUAAGGGGUGCCUGCGUGAGCAGGCCGCAGUGAAAUGGCUCUGGCGACUGUUUACCAAAAACAUAGGUCUCUGCUAAGUCGUAAGACGAUGUAUAGGGGCUGACUCCUGCCCAGUGCCGGAAGGUUAAGGAAGUCGGUUAGCGCAAGCGAAGCUGGCGACCGAAGCCCCGGUGAACGGCGGCCGUAACGAUAACGGUCCUAAGGUAGCGAAAUUCCUUGUCGGGUAAGUUCCGACCCGCACGAAAGGAGUAACGAUCAGAGCGCUGUCUCGGAGAGAGACACGGCGAAAUAGGAUUGUCCGUGAAGAUACGGACUACCUGCACCCGGACAGAAAGACCCUAUGAAGCUUUACUGUAACUUGGAAUUGUGUUCGGACUUUGUCUGCGCAGAAUAGGUGGGAGGCUAUGAAACGUUCCUCGCGGGGAACUGGAGCCAUCGUUGAGAUACCACUCUGGCAGAGUCUGGAUUCUAACCUACGGGGACAGUUCCAGGUGGGCAGUUUGACUGGGGCGGUCGCCUCCUAAAAUGUAACGGAGGCGCGCAAAGGUUCCCUCAGGCUGGUUGGAAAUCAGCCAUAGAGUGUAAAAGCAUAAGGGAGCUUGACUGUGAGACCUACAAGUCGAGCAGGGACGAAAGUCGGCUUUAGUGAUCCGACGGCACUGAGUGGAAGGGCCGUCGCUCAACGGAUAAAAGUUACUCUAAGGAUAACAGGCUGAUCUCCCCCAAGAGUUCACAUCGACGGGGAGGUUUGGCACCCCGAUGUCGGCUCGUCGCAACCUGGGGCGGUAGUACGUCCCAAGGGUUGGGCUGUUCGCCCAUUAAAGCGGCACGUGAGCUGGGUUCAGAACGUCGUGAGACAGUUCGGUCCAUAUCCGGUGUAGGCGUAGGAGCAUUGGAAGGAUCUCUCCUUAGUACGAGAGGACCGGGAGGGACGUACCUCUGGUGUACCUGUUAUCGUGCCAACGGUAAACGCAGGGUAGCCAUGUACGGAGUGGAUAACCGCUGAAAGCAUCUAAGUGGGAAGCCCACCUUAAGAUGAGUGCUCCCUUGAGGCCACGGGAAGACGACCCGUUUGAUAGGCGCUAGGUGGAAGUGCAGUAAUGCAUGCAGCCGAGGCGUACUAAUAGGCCGAUGGCUUGUCCA
rnacentral:rRNA from 1 species